rfam:Brassica napus, WGS project CCCW01000000 data, contig: 8543
CAGAAGAAUCUGUAAAGCUCAGGAGGGAUAGCGCCAUCAUCAUCAUCUCAUUCAAAUUGAUAUUUUGGCGCUGUCCAUCCUGAGUUUCAUUGGCUCUUCUU